UACGGGGGGGGCAAGCGUUGUUCGGAAUUACUGGGCGUAAAGGGCUCGUAGGCGGCCAACUAAGUCGGAUGUGAAAUCCCCAGGCUCAACCUGGGAACUGCAUCCGAUACUGGAUGGCUCGAGUGUGGGAGAGGGAUGCGGAAUUCCAGGUGUAGCGGUGAAAUGCGUAGAUAUCAGGAGGAACACCGGUGGCGAAGGCGGAUCUCUGGGCCGUAACUGACGCUGAGGAGCGAAAGCAUGGGGAGCGAACAGG
rnacentral:rRNA from 1 species